rnacentral:rRNA from 1 species
CAGUCGCCACGGUAAUACGUAGGGUGCGAGCGUUAAUCGGAAUUACUGGGCGUAAAGCGUGCGCAGGCGGUUAUAUAAGACAGAUGUGAAAUCCCCGGGCUCAACCUGGGACCUGCAUUUGUGACUGUAUAGCUAGAGUACGGUAGAGGGGGAUGGAAUUCCGCGUGUAGCAGUGAAAUGCGUAGAUAUGCGGAGGAACACCGAUGGCGAAGGCAAUCCCCUGGACCUGUACUGACGCUCAUGCACGAAAGCGUGGGGAGCAAACAGGAUUAGAUACCCCUGUAGUCCCUGUCUCUUAUAC